UACGUAGGGUGCAAGCGUUGUCCGGAAUCAUUGGGCGUAAAGCGCGCGUAGGUGGCUUCGUAAGUCCGUUGUGAAAGUCAAAGGCUCAACCUUUGAAUGCCGAUGGAUACUGCGAAGCUAGAGUGCGGUAGGGGAGAUUGGAAUUCCUGGUGUAGCGGUGGAAUGCGCAGAUAUCAGGAGGAACACCGAUGGCGAAGGCAGAUCUCUGGGCCGUAACUGACGCUGAGGAGCGAAAGCAUGGGGAGCGAACAGG
rnacentral:rRNA from 1 species